rnacentral:rRNA from 1 species
GAUGAACGCUGGCGGCGUGCCUAAUACAUGCAAGUCGAGCGAACAGACGAGUAGCUUGCUCCUCUGACGUUAGCGGCGGACGGGUGAGUAACACGGGGAUAACCUACCUAUAAGACUGGGGUAACUUCGGGAAACCGGAGCUAAUACCGGAUAAUAUAUUGAACCGCAUGGGUCAAUAGUGAAAGACGGUUUUGCUGUCGCUUAUAGAUGGAUCCGCGCCGCAUUAGCUAGUUGGUAAGGUAACGGCUUACCAAGGCAACGAUGCGUAGCCGACCUGAGAGGGUGAUCGGCCACACUGGAACUGAGACACGGUCCAGACUCCUACGGGAGGCAGCAGUAGGGAAUCUUGCGCAAUGGGCGAAAGCCUGACGGAGCAACGCCGCGUGAGUGAUGAAGGUCUUCGGAUCGUAAAACUCUGUUAUUAGGGAAGAACAACUGUGUAAGUAACUAUGCACGUCUUGACGGUACCUAAUCAGAAAGCCCCGGCUAACUACGUG